GACGAACGCUGGCGGCGUGCUUAACACAUGCAAGUCGAACGGAAAGGCCCUGCUUUUGUGGGGUGCUCGAGUGGCGAACGGGUGUGUAACACGUGAGUAACCUGCCCUUGACUUUGGGAUAACUUCAGGAAACUGGGGCUAAUACCGGAUAGGAGCUCCUGCUGCAUGGUGGGGGUUGGAAAGUUUCGGCGGUUGGGGAUGGACUCGCGGCUUAUCAGCUUGUUGGUGGGGUAGUGGCUUACCAAGGCUUUGACGGGUAGCCGGCCCGAGAGGGUGACCGGCGACCUGGCGACUGAGGUACGGCCCAGAGUCCUACGGGGGGCAGCGGGGGGGAGUCUUGCCCAAUGGGCGGGAGCGUGUUGCAGCAGCGCUGCGAGUGGGAAGAAGGUCAUGGGGUGGUAAAGCGCAUUAACCUAUGACGAAGCGUGAGUGACGGUAAUGGGUGAAGAAGCACCGGCUAACUACGUG
rnacentral:rRNA from 1 species